UACGUAGGGUGCGAGCGUUGUCCGGAAUUACUGGGCGUAAAGAGCUCGUAGGUGGUUUGUCGCGUUGUUCGUGAAAACUCACAGCUUAACUGUGGGCGUGCGGGCGAUACGGGCAGACUGGAGUACUGCAGAGGAGACUGGAAUUCCUGGUGUAGCGGUGGAAUGCGUAGAUAUCAGGAGGAACACCAGUGGCGAAGGCGGGUCUCUGGGCAGUAACUGACGCUGAGGAGCGAAAGCGUGGGGAGCGAACAGG
rnacentral:rRNA from 1 species